rnacentral:snRNA from 1 species
UGACAUGCAGAAGCUGUACCAGUGACACCUGUCACCCCAUAGCUCACCUGGACUGAUUUGGCUAAUCUAGCUGGCUAUGCAUGUUGUUCCUUCCUCCCUCAAUGUCCUGUGUAUAUCCUUCCUGAAGCUGCAUGCUUGGGUGAAGAGGAAAACUUCCCAAGAUAGGGGUUGAUCAUUCUCGGGUCACAGUUACAAGUAACUGUACUUCCCUCCUAGAACCUCCAAGCAAGUCUGCUAAGGUCCAUGUAAGGUUCUGCAAUCAAAUGGAAAGAUUAGGGCAAUAUCUACUUGAAACAUUGCCUAAUUACAAAGUUGUAAGCUUCAGUGU